GGUAUGCUUAACACAUGCAAGUCGAACGAGAACGGCCCUUCGGGGCUAAGUACAGUGGCGGACGGGUGAGUAACGCGUAGGAAUCUGCCUUGUAGUGGGGGAUAACCCGAGGAAACUCGGGCUAAUACCGCAUAGUCUCUACGGAGUAAAGCGUUAUGUAGCGCUACAAGAUGAGCCUGCGUCUGAUUAGCUUGUUGGUGAGGUAAAUGCUCACCAAGGCAAUGAUCAGUAGCUGGUCUGAGAGGACGAUCAGCCACAUUGGGACUGAGACACGGCCCAGACUCCUACGGGAGGCAGCAGUGGGGAAUAUUGGACAAUGGGCGCGAGCCUGAUCCAGCAAUACCGCGUGUGUGAAGAAGGCCUUAGGGUUGUAAAGCACUUUCAGUAGGGAAGAUAAUGACGGUACCUACAGAAGAAGAACCGGCUAACUUCGUGCCAGCAGCCGCGGUAAUACGAAGGGUUUAAGCGAUAAUCGGAAUUAUUGGGCGUAAAGCGCGCGUAGGUGGUUAAUUAAGUGAGGUGUGAAAUCCCGGAGCUCAACUUCGGAACUGCAUUUCAUACUGGUUAACUAGAGUAUAGUAGAGGUUAGUGGAAUUCAUGGUGUAGCGGUGAAAUGCGUAGAUAUCAUGAGGAACACCAGUGGCGAAGGCGACUAACUGGACUAAUACUGACACUGAGGAGCGAAAGCGUGGGGAGCAAACAGGAUUAGAUACCCUGGUAGUCCACGCCGUAAACGAUGAGAACUAGCUGUUGGGCUGUAAAAAGCUUAGUAGCGAAGCUAACGCGUUAAGUUCUCCGCCUGGGGAGUACGGCCGCA
rnacentral:rRNA from 1 species